AAAUCGAAUAGGCAAACCUAGAGAAAUUUAGGGACGCAAAGCUAUAGGGACUAAGGUGUAUCACUAAGUCAGCCAGUUGCCGAA
rfam:Lysinibacillus contaminans strain DSM 25560 Scaffold4, whole genome shotgun sequence.